rnacentral:rRNA from 1 species
UCUUCCAGAGUAUCAAUUGGAGGGCAAGUCUGGUGCCAGCAGCCGCGGUAAUUCCAGCUCCAAUAGCGUAUAUUAAACUUGUUGCAGUUAAAAAGCUCGUAGUUGAAUUUCUGCUGUAUCGUUUUCCUCUGCUUGACAGUUGGAUUUCGUUAUGGCUUAGUUGGGUUACAGCUCUUGUUACCCAACGUUUACUUUGAGAAAAUUAGAGUGCUUCAAGCAGGCUUUUGCCUUGAAUACUUUAGCAUGGAAUAAUGGAGUAGGACUUUGGUUCUAUUUUGUUGGUUUUAGGAGCCAGAGUAAUGGUUAAUAGGAACAGUUGGGGGCAUUCGUAUUUGACUGUCAGAGGU